UCCGGCAGCUAACUCUCUGCAACUCUUAAGUGGUCGCCCUCUGAAGCUAAGCAGGGCUGCACCCAGUCAAGACCUGGAUGUGAGACCACAUGGGAAAGCUAGGUUGCUGCCGGAA
ensembl:rRNA 5S_rRNA 5S ribosomal RNA